rnacentral:rRNA from 1 species
UACGGGGGGGGCAAGCGUUGUUCGGAAUUACUGGGCGUAAAGGGCGCGUAGGCGGAAUGGCAAGUCGGUCGUGAAAUCCUUCGGCUCAACCGAAGAACGUCGAUCGAAACUGCCGUUCUUGAGGAUUGCAGAGGAGACUGGAAUUCCCGGUGUAGCGGUGAAAUGUGUAGAGAUCGGGAGGAACACCGGUGGCGAAGGCGGGUCUCUGGGCAACUACUGACGCUGAGGAGCGAAAGCGUGGGGAGCGAACAGG